rnacentral:rRNA from 1 species
GAACGCUGGCGGCAUGCCUAACACAUGCAAGUCGAACGAGACCUUCGGGUCUAGUGGCGCACGGGUGCGUAACGCGUGGGAAUCUGCCCUUGGGUUCGGAAUAACUCAGAGAAAUUUGAGCUAAUACCGGAUGAUGACGAAAGUCCAAAGAUUUAUCGCCCAGGGAUGAGCCCGCGUAAGAUUAGCUUGUUGGUGGGGUAAUGGCCUACCAAGGCGACGAUCUUUAGCUGGUCUGANAGGAUGAUCAGCCACACUGGGACUGAGACACGGCCCAGACUCCUACGGGAGGCAGCAGUGGGGAAUAUUGGACAAUGGGCGCAAGCCUGAUCCAGCAAUGCCGCGUGAGUGAUGAAGGCCUUAGGGUUGUAAAGCUCUUUUACCAGGGAUGAUAAUGACAGUACCUGGAGAAUAAGCUCCGGCUAACUCCGUG